rnacentral:rRNA from 1 species
UACGGGGGGGGCAAGCGUUGUUCGGAAUUACUGGGCGUAAAGGGCUCGUAGGCGGCCAACUAAGUCGGAUGUGAAAUCCCCAGGCUUAACCUGGGAACUGCAUCCGAUACUGGAUGGCUUGAAUCCGGGAGAGGGAUGCAGAAUUCCAGGUGUAGCGGUGAAAUGCGUAGAUAUCUGGAGGAAAACCGGUGGCGAAGGCGGCAUCCUGGACCGGCAUUGACGCUGAGUGAGCGAAAGCUAGGGGGGCAAACGGG